CAUUAGUAUUUAGAUUUGUCAUUGUGCUCUAUGCUCAUCGCACCUAAUUGUUGAUGUGUUGAAUCAAUAAAAGGGAAGUGGAUUAAGAUACUGGUGGCGGUUCACCCAGACUGGGUGAAAAGCCAUCACAUUUAAUGGUUGGAAAGGGUGGAGAAGAUGAAUGAGGAGAGAAAGGGUAAAUAGUUUCUUGAAUGUGUUGUCAUUAUUUGUGCUUUUAAUGCAAUGAGAAAGCUUAUGAACACGAGCUAGGGGUG
rnacentral:lncRNA from 1 species